CGCUGAGUGGUGGAAUACGGUAUACACGACGGUCUUAAAAACCGUUGCUCGAUCAAGAGCAUGAGGGUUCAAAUCCCUUCUCAGCGACCA
rnacentral:tRNA from 1 species